GUAUCUUUGCUCCUAUACUCACAUGGCAUUUGGAUAGCAGGCGGAACCCAAUUUGUGUGUCCACUCCUGCUAAUCCAAACCACCUGCGAGUGCUAGGAAGUUCAGCUAUUUAAGUAUGUAGCCAUUCAGCAACCAAUGUGUCAUGAAUAAGGAUCAG